rnacentral:lncRNA from 12 species
CCAACAUUGGAGGAGGUGCCAAGGACCAUCCUUAACCUACUGCUCAUUAUUUACUCUUUCACUUCUUAUGGCAGGUGCUUCACCUGGAACAAGCUCUAAAGAAUAGCGGCUGUUCUGCUCACUGCUAUCUCCUCAUUUUUUUAAUUGCCCAAGGACCUAGUUCUUGUUUGGAAUAAAAGAACAUAUAAACAAACACCAAAUCCAACAUCUCAGGAUAUCACAGGCAGGAAGAAAAAUGUUGUUCCAAGCUACAGGCAGUAAGUUGUAAGAGGGGCAGCUGGAAAAAUAGUAAAAAGACUGAAGUCCUCUGGGAGGCAGAGAGGGGAUCCCUGGCCAUCAUUUGA